GUGUCUAUCGUACCUUGUUGCUUCGGCGGGCCCGCCGUUUCGACGGCCGCCGGGGAGGCCUCGCGCCCCCGGGCCCGCGCCCGCCGAAGACCCCAACAUGAACGCUGUUCUGAAAGUAUGCAGUCUGAGUUGAUUAUCAUAAUCAGUUAAAACUUUCAACAACGGAUCUCUUGGUUCCGGCAUCGAUGAAGAACGCAGCGAAAUGCGAUAAGUAAUGUGAAUUGCAGAAUUCAGUGAAUCAUCGAGUCUUUGAACGCACAUUGCGCCCCCUGGUAUUCCGGGGGGCAUGCCUGUCCGAGCGUCAUUGCUGCCCUCAAGCACGGCUUGUGUGUUGGGCCCCCGUCCCCUCUCCCGGGGACGGGCCCGAAAGGCAGCGGCGGCACCGCGUCCGGUCCUCGAGCGUAUGGGGCUUUGUCACCCGCUCUGUAGGCCCGGCCGGCGCCAGCCGACACCCAACUUUAUUUCUAAGGUUGACCUCGGAUCAGGUAGGGAUACCCGCUGAACUUAAGCAUAUCAAUA
rnacentral:rRNA from 1 species